rnacentral:rRNA from 1 species
AAAGGGAUUUAUUUCAAUUCAUCGGCCUCAGAUUGGUAGGACUACCCGCUGAACUUAAGCAUAUCAAUAAGCGGAGGAAAAGAAACUAACAAGGAUUCCCCUAGUAACGGCGAGUGAAGAGGGAAGAGCCCAAGAUUGAAAGCUGGCGCCUUCGGCGUCCGCAUUGUAAUCUCAAGAAGUGUUUUCCGCUUCGGACCAUGCCUAAGUCCCUUGGAAAAGGGCAUCAUAGAGGGUGAUAAUCCCGUACAUGGCAUGGAGCGCCCGAAGCUUUGUGAUACGCUUUCUAAGAGUCGAGUUGUUUGGGAAUGCAGCUCAAAAUGGGUGGUAAAUGCCAUCUAAGGCUAAAUAUUGGGGAGAGACCGAUAGCGAACAAGUACAGUGAUGGAAAGAUGAAAAGAACUUUGAAAAGAGAGUUAAACAGUACGUGAAAUUGCCAAAAGGGAAGGGUAGGAGGUCAGAGAUGCGUCGCAGGAUUCAGCCUUGCUUUUGCUUGGUGUUUUUCCUGCGUUGCAGGCCAACGUCGGUUUUGGGCACUGGAGAAGGGUAGGAGGAACGUGGCACCUCUCGGGGUGUGUUAUAGCCUCCUACUGGAURCAGCGACCGAGACCGAGGAACGCAGCGUACUCGUAAGAGCGGGCCUUUUGGCA